CAGUGUGUAAAAAUUGUAAUUUUUGACUAGAAACAAAAGGGUUAUUUUCGAGUUUGUUAAAAACAAUUGGGGCAAACAUAAAAAUAAUUUUAGACUUUAGGGACGGAAAAGGGAAACUAUUAGUGUAGUAGUUAUUUUCCUCUCUCCCUUUCCCGCCUUCUUUUCUCUUUUCCCUCUCUCUGACUUUCGUCAUUCUUUUAGUAGUUUCAGUUCUUCUCAUAAACCAUUUGUCUUUUGUUUUACUAACUUUUGAGUUCUCAUAAACCUUUCUUCUUCGAAAGUAGAGUUUUUCAUCGGUUUCUUGGAAAGUCUCUCUUCUCCAAAUGUAGCAGAGUUUGCAUUUCCUCUAGCAGCAGCAAUAGCAGCAUCAAGCUUUUUUCGUGACUCCUCAAACUAUGUUUUUUAUUGUUUCUUGUGCUUGUUUUUCAGCCUAUGCCCUAUCAGAUGCUGAAGUUGUAGAAGAAGCAUCACUUUCUCUUUUUCUUGUAAACUGAAAAUUAGUACUGAGUCUGAUGUCUUGCCUCCCAUUGACCAUCUCUGGAGUGAUCUCGGUCGAAACGAAAUCUUGACCGCAGUUUUGACACGGCAAGGUCUUGUUAAAGAUAAAAUAUCCUUGCAUAUUCAAAACAUGUCUGGCAGCUAUUGCACACGGUCAA